UCAGUAAAUAUAAAAUAACUUCUGUCUUCCUAUUUUUAGAACGAGAAAGUUUAUUUCCUUGUGAUCCUCAAAUCAAAUAAAAGCUAACCACAAAUGAAAACCCAAAGAAUACAAAGCAAUGACUACGACUGCCGAUAAUAAUGCAAUACCUCUUUUCGUUUACAGCUUUAUAUUUUUUAUGAUGUACACACCCCGCAAAAAACCGGGCACCCGGUCUAAAAUGGUGCCGCGUGCCGUUAAAAACCCACUAUCGCAUCAAAAAAACCCUAUUCACCCUCAAAAUUUCUUUCGCGUUCUUCUCCUUUACUUCUUCGAAUCCUUUAUGGCCCCUGUAUGUCGAGGCUAUAGCCCUCUAUACCCAGCUACUAUACCUCCACCAACUAAAUGUAACCCCUUACAAUAAUGGCGCUAGCUGUUUUACCCCCUCCCCCUUUUACUGAAAAGUCCGCCUCUCUCUAACGUCACCCCCCACUCCUACCUUUUCGUAUCUCUCCUUCUGUGCACUCCUCCACAGAAGCACUGAAAAAGGACUCACACACACGUUCUUUCUCGCUCUCACUCAGUUGUAGACUUGUAAAUAACACGAGCCAAUCAGAGUACAGGUGUUGUUAGAGGCAACCAAUAGGAAGAGCGAAUGUCGACGGGUCUCAGCAAAGAUGAAUGAGGACCGUGGCACGAGAGGCUGCAGACUACGGUGUUCUGCUAAGCAGCCUCCUGAAGAACUGGUCAGCUUCCAGAAGCUAACGGCGACUUGGGUGUACUCCUGUUACAUCAUGAAGCUCAAACCGUGGUCGUCAUUGCAGCAAGGGGUGGGGAAAUUGGACAAGCUUCAGGUAUUACUUUCUACAAAAAUUUUGUGUUGAACGCAUUUCAUUCUGCACAUAUGAGGAGCAGACAAUUCAGAAUGAAUGCCCGUCUGUGUAGUUAAUCAACUUUGCUUACAAUUUUUGUUGUUCAAGCAUAAGAUCUGUCUACAUUUCAGCCAAUUUAGCUGCAUUAAUAAAAGCAAUUCAAGUCCUCA